rnacentral:rRNA from 1 species
UACGUAGGGGGCGAGCGUUGUCCGAAGUUACUGGGCGUAAAGCGCGUGUAGGCGGACCUCUAAGUGAGGGGUGAAAGGUUCGGGCUCAACCCGAACACUGCCUCUCAUACUGGGGGUCUUGAGUGCGGGAGAGGCGAGUGGAAUUCCCAGUGUAGAGGUGAAAUUCGUAGAUAUUGGGAAGAACACCGGUGGCGAAGGCGGCUCACUGGCUCAUUUCUGACGCUCAGGCGCGACAGCGUGGGGAUCAAACAGG